rnacentral:lncRNA from 1 species
GACAGUUUUGAUAAAUUUCCAAGAGAAGGUGGAAUUGGACCUGUUAGCAAAUUCACUCCGAGAUGCAAAUACGAGAGUUCUUGCAUGAGGCCUAAUUCUUCUUGAAUCUCUCCAGUCAGGUUGUUGAAAUCAAGGCCAAGUAUAUUGAGAUGGGUGAGAUUGCUAAAAACAGCUGGGACAGAGCCAUGUAAGGAAUUAGCACCCAAGGAUAGACGGUAAGUUGUUGCAAUUGAGCCAACCAGGUUGGCACAACAUCGACAAAAAAAUUGUAUGACAAGGAGAUCACUUGCAGGUGUUGGCACGAUGCAAGACCAGAUGGAAUUCGACCAACAAAGUUAUUCGUACUAAGGGUAAUCCAUUGUAGCAUCGGAAGACUGAAACUUUGAUUAUUGUUCGGAAUCGGCCCAGUUAAACUGUUUGAUUCGAAUCCAAUUACUUGCAGCCUAGACAUGUUAUAAAUGGUUGGGGGUACUGUGCCAGUGAGCUGAUUGCAUCCCAGGGACAAGUACUCAAGCAUGGGUAGUGAGCCUAUUCUAUGGGGUAUUGGACCUGAUAGGCUAUUCUUUCCGAGGUCGAUUUGCUUGAGGGAAGGUGUGUUAUUGAACAGAUACAGUGGUAUGUUGCCACUCAAGUCAUUCCAUGCUAGAUAAAACCACUCAAGAUUUCUCAUGCUCUGCGGUAACCGUUGUGGAAUCUCUCCAGUCAGGUUGUUGAAAGAAAGGUCAAGUACAGUAAGACGGGUGAGAUUGCUAAGAACAGCUGGGACAGAGCCAUGUAAGGCAUUAGCACGCAAGUUUAGAUAGGUAAGCAUGGGCAGUGAGCCCAUUCCUUGGGGUAUUGGACCUGAUAGGCUAUUGUUUGAGAGGUUGAUGUGGUUGAGGGAAGGUGUGUUAUUGAACAGAUACAAUGGUAUGUUGCCACUCAACUCAUUCCAUGCUAGAGUAAACCACUGAAGGUUUCUCAUGCUUUGCAGUAACCGUGGUGGAAUCUGCCCCGAGAGGGUGUUGUUACUUAGGCGAAGAAACUCGAGGCUUUUGAGGUUUCCUAUGGUACUAGGAAUGGCGCCUGAGAGGUCAUUUCCAUACAGAUCUAGGACCCUAAGCCGACGUAGCCUUCCAAUUUCAGCAGGGAUGAGUCCAGCGACACCAAUUCUUGUGAGGUUGAGCAUGCUGAGGAAGGAAAGAUUACCGAGAUGUUGGCUGAGCGCUCCAUGGAGGGGCACAUCCACCAACCGUAGAGCCGUGACACGCGGCCGGUGGUGGCUGCACGAGACCCCGACCCAUCGACAGAAGGACACGUUGGAUGUCCAGCUGCCGGCGAGGAUUCCGAGAGGAUCAGAGAGCAGCGAUUUGAAAGCCAACAGGGCAGUGAGGUCGGUGUAGCUACCGUUAACAUUGGUUACACUUGGGCUUGGAGAUGAAGAAAGGACAGCAGGCAAUAGGAUUGGUAGCAAGAUGGCCAAAAACACUAGAGGGACCGGGUAGCUUGCAAUGGCCAUUGUUGUGUAUUUUUGGGCUGAUAGGUCAUAGGUGGCAAUGUUAUAUACUUAUAUGUAUUUUUGGGUCAUAGGUCAUAGGUCACAUGUCAAAGUCUUGACUCGUGUUUCCUUUAUUUAUUUGUCACACGGUAUAUUUCUAUGGUGGCAAAAAAAAACAGUGUCACUAUUAUCUUGACUCAUGAAGUCAGCAAAGAUCUUUUAUAUUACUAUAAAGUAAUAAACAUUUAGAGACAUUUUGCUAAAUGUGAAUCCACGAUCUCGCCAUCUAGCGAUCGACAUUUCAUGAAUAUUGCUGCCUUUUAUAUUUACACACAUAUACAAUUCACUGAACGGAACGGAGAGUGUGUGCUGUCUCAUUGGACGUUGCCAGCUUGUGCGAAGACUAGAAUAUUGGCGGUCGUUGCACGGCAAAUUCCUGUCAGGUCAUUACGGGUUAGACAAGACGUGAAGACGAUGAUGGGUUGAAUAUUCUCUAGUACCUUUGCAGCCAUAGUCUCGUAUAGGCUACCGUCGAAUGCUACUUCCUGGUCAAUAACUCUACAGACGUAAAGACUGAUGUGGAUUAGUGUUGGUUCAUUUAUAUGGUGGCCUGUUCGGCAGUUGCAUAAAUGUAAUUUUUUUUCGUUUUGAAAUUUUCUCUUCAGGGUAGGAUAUAUCGAUCUCUCAGUGCAAAAUUGAAGGAUAUAUAUGCCUGUCUCGUAGGUGACACAGGUUAUGAACCACGACUAACAGGGUAUUUCCAAAGGACAGAAGCAGAGGAGCCCAUCCUGAUCAAUGUACAAAUUAAAUUAGUGACCACACUCAUGGAAAAAAGAACGCAUUUAUUCUAUUAUGAAAAGUUAACGAAACACUGUAAUUAUAAGCUUGGAUAUGCGUUGUUAAACUGAAAACAAAGUAUUUUAUUAGCUAAAAAAAUCAAUAAACUGGAUUAUUACAAAGUAACAUGCACUAGCAGUAGAUGAUGUUCCCAUUUUUCAGAUAGUCUUUUGCAUUUGUCUCUGAAGCGGUCAAUUCUGAUUAAGUUGCCAUAUUUUCUUUGUGGCCCCUUUAUCCACCAAAUAACUGCUAGGAAGUUGAGAUCCACAUGGAGGAAAUUUAGUCAUUUACAAGAUGCAACAAGUAGUUCAUACUAUACCCGCUGCUGCUGGUAACUAUCCAGCCAACAGCUUCGUAUCCAUCGUUAAUUCAAUAGCCACCAUUCACCACGAAAACAUCAUUUCAACAGAUCAUGAUAUACACUAUGAUUUCGCAAAGAAACAAAUUUGCGCAGCUGUGAAAGAAACAUGGGGACAUUCAUACCCUGUGUUAUGUGCAUACUAAUGAAUACAGUUGAUCGUAAACAAAUUGCUGGAUGCUAACUGCACCAUCAUGGCUACACAAUUACAAAUUCGAAAGUUAUUUCAGUUAGUGAGGCGGAAAUCACAAACUAUUUUUCAUUCGUUGGAUGCUAACUGCACCAUCAUGCAGAGUUUGGAGAGCAGAGUGGAAAGACAUAAUUAGUUUCUAAUAUAACAUGAAUGGAUCAGUUCGCAACGGAUCAAGUAUUUGUCCCAAUAAUAAAUCGGCAUUGCUUCUAGGUAAAAUAUCGAACACAUGGUGUCCUGUGCUGGCACAACAAUAGAGCUAUCUGAGGAACAGAUGCCUUUGUCAGUAGCAGAUCGAAUGAGAGGAACCCAGCAGGCAGCCUGAGAAGAAGACAAGCAGAAAUUGCCCCGGGCUCUAACCGUCUAUGGUCGACCGCAAAAUCCAUGUCGUGACCGCAAAAUCCACGGCAGUGGUCUUGUCCUCUGCUUUGUGAAUCUUCAAAUGCAUUAUUUGGAUUGCAGUAGCCACCCAUGAAGAUUAACCCGGGCUCGUUCAGUUGGAUUGCAGUAUUCAAAAAUCAUAUUAGGCACAGGCCAAAGGGACAAAAACAAGUAAUGAAAAAUAAUUGGAGAUGGAACAACGGACAGAACAGUUGAAUCACACGGUAGCACUCGUCGUGGUUGCUGAUAUUAUCGAUUCUGUAUAAUCCUUUUUUAUCUUCUUGAGUGCUACUGUGACAUCCCUCAUGACAUCCUCAGGCCAGGUGAGUCACUUGAGCAGAUCAACCCCAGCUCAAAUGUCGCCGUAAGAAAGUCAUUCAGAUUGCCGGCAAAGAAAGAAACACCUUGCAACAGCCGGUCAUCAAGAACAGAGGCAAGCUGAGCUGGAAAUGCUUGACGAACCCACCACCUAAUGCUCAAAUCUGCGACGAACAUGGGAUCUGUGGGUCUCUUUCCAGUGAAGACUUCAAGGAGCAUGAUUCCAUAACUGAAAACAUCGCUCUUGCGUGAUGCCUUCCCGUAAGAUCCAUACUCUGCUCAUGAGACCGGAAACAAAGAAUUCCAGCAAGACUGAAUCAGCACUGUUAGACAAAUAUAUACCAAACAAAAUUCAGAGUCACAGUACGGAGUAUGGACGUACCUGGUGCCAUGUACCCAAGUGUUCCAAGCAUGCUUGCAGUGAUCAUAGAGCAGUCAUCACCCAAUAGCAACUUUGCGAUUCCAAAGUCCGCUACAUGUGCUGUCAUGUCUUCAUCAAACAGCACGUUGCUAGGCUUCAAGUCACAGUGCAGGACUACCUCGUGAUGCUCAUGGUGCAGAUACUCCAUUGCCAUUGACACAUCUAGCAUGAUGUCCAGCCUCUUGAGGAACCCUAAGUGCUCUAUGCUGUCAGAUUGCAAGAGCAUCUCUAAGCUACCACGGGGCAUAUAUUGAAGCACCAAUGCCUUGAACUCCACAUUGGAGCAGACAUUCAAUAUCUUUAUCAAGUUCCUAUGCCGAGCCAUGCGAAGUGUGCUGCACUCAGCAUCAAAGCUUCUAAUGGCCUGCUCCUGCUGCAUGUCUAGAACUUUUACUGCCACCGUGAAACCGGUACUAAGUUGACCUUUAUAGACCUUUCCAAAGCUCCCAGUCCCCAACAGGUUGUCGUCACUAAAAUUACUGGUGGCAAGGACAAGCUCAUGGUAUGACAGGUGCCCAUGGUACAUAACAUUUCUAGGAUCAAUGACAGAAUCUUCAACCUCUCCCUUAUUUUUAAUUUUCUUUCUAAUGGUUUGGUAGAUGAAAAUAAUAGUACACCCAAAUGCUAUGGUUACAGAAGGGAGCAGGAAUCUUAGAAAGGGCGUCGUAUUUGAGUGAGGUUUUUCCAUACAUGGAGAGAAUCCUAAACGAGGUAUGCCACAAAGCCCAACAUUCCCAACCAAAGAUUGCAACGAGAUGUUAGAGAAAACACCGCCCUCUGGUACCUUGCCUUGUAGAUUAUUAAAGGAGAGAUUUAAAGUUUUCAAGAAGGUUAAAUUGGCUAGGAACAUGGGAAUGGUACCUGAGAAAUUAUUGGAGGAGAGGUCCAACAACUCGAGGCUCCUCAGCUCUUUAAAUGACAGGGGGAUUGAGUCCUCAAAUGAAUUGUGCGAUAGGAUUAGAUAGCUGAGCAUGCUUAGUUUCUCAAAUGAUUUGGGGAUGCUUCCAAGCAAAAAGUUGAAAGAAAGGUCAAUUGUAACCACUUGUUUCAUCCCACCAACGUCACUUGGUAGUUUACCAGAAAAGGAAUUGAUAGAAAGAUCUAGCAAUAUAAUUUUGUCAAGGCGGAACAAACUUGCCGGUAUAGUUGAAUUGAAUUGGUUGUCAGACAACGAGACGUAUUCUAGCAUGGUAAGAUUUCCAAUGCUAUCAGGUAUAGUGCCAUGAAAUCUAUUUCCAUAGAGAUAAAGCAAUUGUAAGUUUCUGAGCAUACCAAUUUGUGCCGGGAUAGUCCCUAGCAUGUCAUUAUGAGAGACAUCAAGCCAAACGAGAUUUUGCAUCCUCGUGAUAGAUUCUGGGAUCUCUCCUGUGAGCUGGUUGUUGGCAAGAUAAAUAAUCUCAAGACUGCUCAAGUUCGACAGUGAGGAUGGAAGCCCACCUGUUAGCUUGUUGUCACCAAGUCUAAACUCAAAUAAUUGUGCAGACAGAUUCCCCACAGUGUCAGGGAUUCGUCCGGUGAAAGAAUUAUAAUCUAGUACAAGGUGUUGGAGUCGCACAGAGCUGGAAAGAGAUGACAGGAAGUUAAGAUUCCCACUCAAAUUAUUAGAUUGCAGCUUAAGCAAGUUCAAAGUUGGUAUGUUCCCAAGUGUUUGUGGUACGGAUCCUGACAAUAUAUUAUAACACAAUGCUAGGAAAGUCAGUUUUGAUAAAUUUCCAAGAGAAGGUGGAAUUGGACCUGUUAGCAAAUUCACUCCGAGAUGCAAAUACGAGAGUUCUUGCAUGAGGCCUAAUUCUUUUUGAAUCUCUCCUGUCAGGUUGUUGAAAGGAAGGUAAAGUAUAUUGAGAUGGGUGAGAUUGCUAAGAACAGCUGGGACAGAGCCAUGUAAGGAAUUAGCACCCAAGUUUAGAUAGGUAAGCAUGGGCAGUGAGCCUAUUCCUUGGGGUAUUGGACCUGAUAGGCUAUUGUUUGAGAGGUUGAUGUGGUUGAGGGAAGGUGUGUUAUUGAACAGAUACAAUGGUAUGUUGCCACUCAACUCAUUCCCUGCUAGAGUAAACCACUGAAGGUUUCUCAUGCUUUGCAGUAACCGUGGUGGAAUCUGCCCCGAGAGGGUGUUGUUACUUAGGCGAAGAAACUCGAGGCUUUUGAGGUUUCCUAUGGUACUAGGAAUGGCGCCUGAGAGGCCAUUUCCACGAAGAUCGAGGAAUCUAAGUCGAUGUAGCCUUCCAAUUUCAGGAGGGAUGAGUCCAGCGACACCAAUUCUUGUGAG